rnacentral:rRNA from 1 species
UGAACUCCGAAUGCUAAUAAAUAUACCACACAGUGAGGGCUUGGGUGCUAAGGUCCAAGUCCGAGAGGGAAAGAACCCAGAUCUACAGCUAAGGUCCCAAAGUAUAUGUUAAGUUGAACUAAGGCGGUCCAGUUGCCGAGACAGCAAGGAGGUUGGCUUGGAAGCAGCCAUUCCUUUAAAGAGUGCGUAAUAGCUCACUGGUCGAGGGUUUCGGCGCCGAUAAUGAUCGGGAAUAAGCAAUGUACCGAAGCUGCGGGCUGCGUAAGCAGCGGUAGGAGAGCGUUCCUGUCAGCAGAGAAG